rnacentral:miRNA from 1 species
UAAAAUUUGCCUCAACCUCCUAA